UACGUAGGGUGCGAGCGUUGUCCGGAAUUACUGGGCGUAAAGAGCUCGUAGGUGGUUUGUCGCGUUGUUCGUGAAAACUCACAGCUUAACUGUGGGCGUGCGGGCGAUACGGGCAGACUGGAGUACUGCAGGGGAGACUGGAAUUCCUGGUGUAGCGGUGGAAUGCGCAGAUAUCAGGAGGAACACCGGUGGCGAAGGCGCUGCUCUGGGCCGGUACUGACGCUGAGGAGCGAAAGCGUGGGUAGCAAACAGG
rnacentral:rRNA from 1 species